GUGCUCGCUUCACCAGCACAUAUAUUAAAAUUUAAAUGAUACAGAAAUUAGCAUGGCCCCUAAGCAAG
ensembl:snRNA U6 U6 spliceosomal RNA